rnacentral:rRNA from 1 species
UUAAUACGACUCACUAUGGGGCAGGCGGGUAAUCUCCUAUAUGACCGGUAAACUUUACUCACAAAGUCUGAAGAGACUGCAAGACUUGAGAUCGGGUGAUGUAAACAUACUUUCAAGGUAAGGGUAAAAUCCUGUAAUCCCGGAAGGACGACCAGUGGCGAAAGCGUUUAACUAGAACGAAUCUGACGGUAAGGAACGAAGGCUAGGGUAGCAAACCGGAUUAGAUACCCGGGUAGUCCUAGCUGUAAACAUUGCCCAUUUGAUGUUGCUUUCCCGUUGAGGGAAGGCAGUGUCGGAGCGAAGGUGUUAAAUGGGCCGCUUGGGAAGUAUGGUCGCAAGACUGAAACUUAAAGGAAUUGGCGGGGGAGCACCGCAACGGGAGGAAUGUGCGGUUUAAUUGGAUUCAACGCCGGAAAACUCACCGGGAACGACCUGUGCAUGAGAGUCAACUUGACGAGCUUACUCGAUAGCAGGAGAGGUGGUGCAUGGCCGUCGUCAGCUCGUACCGUAGGGCGUUCACUUAAGUGUGAUAACGAGCGAGACCCACAUCUUUAA